UACGUAGGGAGCGAGCGUUGUCCGGAUUUAUUGGGCGUAAAGAGCGUGUAGGCGGCCCGGUAAGUCCGCUGUGAAAGUCGGGGGCUCAACCCUCGAAUGCCGGUGGAUACUGUCGGGCUAGAGUGCGGAAGAGGCGAGUGGAAUCCUGGUGUAGCGGUGAAAUGCGCAGAUAUCAGGAGGAACACCAAUUGCGAAGGCAGCUCGCUGGGACGUAACUGACGCUGAGACGCGAAAGCGUGGGGAGCAAACAGG
rnacentral:rRNA from 1 species